GAUGAACGCUGGCGGCGUGCCUAAUACAUGCAAGUCGAGCGAACGGACGAGAAGCUUGCUUCUCUGAUGUUAGCGGCGGACGGGUGAGUAACACGUGGAUAACCUACCUAUAAGACUGGGAUAACUUCGGGAAACCGUAGCUAAUACCGGAUAAUAUUUUGAACCGCAUGGUUCAAAAGUGAAAGACGGUCUUGCUGUCACUUAUAGAUGGAUCCGCGCUGCAUUAGCUAGUUGGUAAGGUAACGGCUUACCAAGGCAACGAUGCAUAGCCGACCUGAGAGGGUGAUCGGCCACACUGGAACUGAGACACGGUCCAGACUCCUACGGGAGGCAGCAGUAGGGAAUCUUCCGCAAAGGGCGAAAGCCUGACGGAGCAACGCCGCGUGAGUGAUGAAGGUCUUCGGAUCGUAAAGCUCUGUUAUUAGGGAAGAACAUAUGUGUAAGUAACUGUGCACAUCUUGACGGUACCUAAUCAGAAAGCCACGGCUAACUACGUG
rnacentral:rRNA from 1 species